UACGGAGGAGGCAAGCGUUAUCCGGAAUUAUUGGGCGUAAAGCGUCCGUAGGUGGUGGACCAAGUCUGCUGUCAAAGGGUGGGGCUUAACCUCAUAAAGGCAGUGGAAACUGGAGAGCUAGAGUGCGGUAGGGGUAAGGGGAAUUCCCAGUGUAGCGGUGAAAUGCGUAGAGAUUGGGAAGAACAUCGGUGGCGAAAGCGCCUUGCUGGGCCUGCACUGACACUGAGGGACGACAGCUAGGGGAGCGAAAGGG
rnacentral:rRNA from 1 species